CGCACAUUGCGCCCCUUGGUAUUCCAUUGGGCAUGCCUGUUCGAGCGUCAUUUAACCCCUCAAGCACUGCUUGGUGUUGGGCGUUUUGUCUACGGACUCGCCCCAAAUCUAUUGGCAGCAGCCUUACCAGCUUCUUGCGCAGUACAAUGCGCUCCGAGAAGCCUGUGUAGUGGUGUGCAAUCCAGUAAGCAACUCUUUAUUUUGACCUCGAAUCAGGUAGGGAUACCCGCUGAACUUAA
rnacentral:misc_RNA from 1 species